GACGUAGGGCGCGAGCGUUGUCCGGAAUUAUUGGGCGUAAAGGGCGCGUAGGCGGCCUGCUAAGUCGGAUGUGAAAUCCCUCGGCUCAACCGAGGAACUGCAUCCGAUACUGGCGGGCUUGAAUCCGGGAGAGGGAUGUGGAAUUCCAGGUGUAGCGGUGAAAUGCGUAGAUAUCUGGAGGAACACCGGUGGCGAAGGCGGCAUCCUGGACCGGUAUUGACGCUGAGGCGCGAAAGCUAGGGGAGCAAACGGG
rnacentral:rRNA from 1 species